rnacentral:rRNA from 1 species
UACAGAGGUGGCAAGCGUUGUUCGGAAUUACUGGGCGUAAAGGGCGCGUAGGCGGCCUGUUAAGUCGAACGUGAAAUCCCCGGGCUCAACCCGGGAACUGCGUCCGAUACUGGCAGGCUUGAAUUAGGGAGAGGGAUGUGGAAUUCCAGGUGUAGCGGUGAAAUGCGUAGAUAUCUGGAGGAACACCGGUGGCGAAGGCGGCAUCCUGGACCGAUAUUGACGCUGAUGCGCGAAAGCCAGGGGAGCAAACGGG